rnacentral:misc_RNA from 1 species
GCCAAAUUCAGUAAAAUAGAAGGAGAAGGAGUAGCUAGUGACUAAAGUGAAGAUGAGAAUAUAGAAAACUCAAGGUGAUCCUUAUCGAAUCGAACAUCUUGCUUUUGUCUUGUUGGUAAAUGAACAUCAGCUGUCAUGCUCGGCUCGGCUGUUCUGCUUUCAACAACAACUUUACAUAAAUGCACAUGCAUUAAUUUUAUUUUAUUUAUCUCCCUGUU